UACGGAGGAUGCAAGCGUUAUCCGGAAUGAUUGGGCGUAAAGCGUCCGCAGGUGGCUAUGCAAGUCUGCUGUUAAAGAGUCUAGCUCAACUAGAUAAGAGCAGUGGAAACUACAAGGCUAGAGUACGUUCGGGGCAGAGGGAAUUCCUGGUGUAGCGGUGAAAUGCGUAGAGAUCAGGAAGAACACCAGUGGCGAAGGCGCUCUGCUAGGCCGUAACUGACACUGAGGGACGAAAGCUAGGGGAGCGAAUGGG
rnacentral:rRNA from 1 species